rnacentral:rRNA from 1 species
GAUGAACGCUGGCGGCGUGCCUAACACAUGCAAGUCGAGCGGCAGCGAGGGGUGCUUGCACCCUGUCGGCGAGCGGCGGACGGCUGAGUAACGCGUGGGAACGUGCCCCAAAGUGAGGAAUAACUGCCCGAAAGGGUAGCUAAUACCGCAUAUUAUCCUCGGAUCAAAGGAUUUAUCCGCUUUGGGAGCGGCUCGCGUCGGAUUAGGUAGUUGGUGAGGUAAUGGCUCACCAAGCCGACGAUCCGUAGCUGGUCUGAGAGGAUGACCAGCCAGACUGGAACUGAGACACGGUCCAGACUCCUACGGGAGGCAGCAGUGAGGAAUCUUCCACAAUGGGCGAAAGCCUGAUGGAGCAACGCCGCGUGCAGGACGAAGGCCUUCGGGUUGUAAACUGCUUUUAUAAGUGAGGAAUAUGACGGUAACUUAUGAAUAAGGAUCGGCUAACUACGUG